GUAGUUGUGGCCGAGUGGUUAAGGCGAUGGACUCGAAAUCCAUUUGGGUCUCCCCGCGCAGGUUCGAGUCCUGCCGACUACG
rfam:Danio rerio unplaced genomic contig NA838, GRCz11 reference primary assembly.